rnacentral:rRNA from 1 species
AACGAACGCUGGCGGCAUGCCUAACACAUGCAAGUCGAACGAGACCUUCGGGUCUAGUGGCGCACGGGUGCGUAACGCGUGGGAACCUGCCCUUAGGUUCGGAAUAACUCCCCGAAAGGGGUGCUAAUACCGGAUAAUGUCUUCGGACCAAAGAUUUAUCGCCUUUGGAUGGGCCCGCGUUGGAUUAGCUAGUUGGUAGGGUAAAAGCCUACCAAGGCGUCGAUCCAUAGCUGGUCUGAGAGGAUGAUCAGCCACACUGGGACUGAGACACGGCCCAGACUCCUACGGGAGGCAGCAGUAGGGAAUAUUGGACAAUGGGCGAAAGCCUGAGCCAGCAAUGCCGCGUGAGUGAUGAAGGCCUGAGGGUUGUAAAGCUCUUUUACCCGGGAUGAUAAUGACAGUACCGUGAGAAUAAGCUCCGGCUAACUCCGUG